GGGCCCGUAGCUCAACUGGUUAGAGCAGUAGCCUUUUAAGCUAUUGGUUCUGGGUUCGAGUCCCAGCGGGCUCACAA
rnacentral:tRNA from 1 species